ACAGAAGCUUGAAGAAAAUCCCCAUACUCGAAGAUCCGGAAAAGUACUCAAUCAUUGGACUUAAGCCAAGACGAGCUGAUCUCGACAUGAACCAUCAUAUCAACAAUGUCACCUAUAUUGGAUGGCUUCUUGAGAGCAUACUCAAGAGAUUGUAGACACGCACAAACUUCAAUUCAGGUCAUAACUUUGGAUUAUAGACUAGAAUGUCAGCAAGACGAUGUGGUGGAUUCACUCACCACCUCAAAGAAUGGCUUUGCAACAUCAGGCACACAAAGCCACAACGAUAGCCAGUUCUUACAUCUCCUAAGGUUUUUCGGAGAUGGUCAGGAGAUCAACCAUGGAACAACCCUGUGGAGAAAGAAGCCCUCCAGAUAGACAAUCCCUAAGCCAUUACGAGUCAAGGACCAAUCAUUUUCACAUAAACCUCUUUGGCUAUUUGAUUAAACAAAUUACAUGACUGAUAACAGAUUCUGCCUAUUACAAAGUCUCAUAAGUUUCAAACAAUGUGAGAUAAAUAAAUAGA